AUAACCACACGACUCUUCCGAUCUGCCUUUCCGUGGUUCUGAAUAAACCUCCAUGAUGCCUUCUCUUCCAGAAGUCUGUCUCUUAUGGGAGGUGGAUAUUGAAAUGACACUUCUGGUCAUUUUUUUCCUUGAAUGAGGGGCUGAAUCCAAGCUUGAACACUCAAACUCAGGUUCCUUUGAGGGGCUGUGAUUGGAGUCUGGAAAAAGCUGGAGAACAGAGACUCGGUGUGGAAGACUCAAGUAUUCACAGCGUUCCACGGAGUGGAGUUAGAAGUCUGGUUUUGACAGCCUGAAUCACUCCAGUUUCUUUCCCCAAAGACCUGUUUUUUUCCUUUCAACCUGUGCGGCUUCCCUCCCACCCCACCCCACCCCACCCCACCCCACCCCCACCCCCAGGAAAUACACAGAAGUUUAUCAUCUAAGGAAACACACUUUGUUCCGAGGCACAGUAUUUCUGGAAAACCCCAGCAAUUGGGAGGGAUGGCUAGUUUCAGCUGAAAACAGUUCCUUAAACUUUCAGGUCCAGACAGUAUCUAGAAUUAGACAAUCAAGGUACUGCCUACAAGGAAAUCUUGCUUUGAUGAAUACAGGAGAUAAAAACAACCAAUCGGUUGCGUGAAUUGGAUUGAUUCUGAAAUAAGGUGGGACUAGAACCUCGCACACAGUAGGGCUCUUAAACCGCACUCCUUUCUUUUUGAUGUGCUUUAGGGGGCUUGGCAGUGGUUUGUUUUCUUAGGAAGAUUAAAUGUUCCAGAACAGUUCUGCCACUGCUGUGAAUUAACUAAGAGAAUAAUUUUUCAGUAAAGAGUUCAAAAGGUUAAAUUCUAGCCCAGCUUUCCCGAGAUGGCGGGUUCCUGUUAGUGACGUUCUCUUGUGCUGUCUUCUCUUCCAUUGAUCUCCUCUCCUUUCCUUCAAAUCACCUGUUUUUGUUUGAAAAGCAGCCCAGAUCUUUCAGUCCUUUAUUUAGAUGGGGUAGAAUGAAAACAAUCCAUGUCAGACAAUAGAUUGGGUGACCUGUUUAUAGAAUGUCCACCGGGUGAAGACUCUGGAGAGGAAACACAAAGGAGAGAAGGAACUCACAAUCAAUUGCUACCAUCCGAGAUGUUUGCAGUCCAGGGAAGGGGGAUAUGGCCCUGGAAGCGUAGCCCCGAUGAAGCUGUGGGUGACAUGCAGAGGAUGUGGGGCUUGACUUUGGAAAACCAGCCACCUGCCAGCUCUGUGACCCUGGGGCCGGAUGUGUAACCCAAGGAACCCUGGAGUCUGUGAAUUCCUUGGGAUUGUCUGCAAAAAAAUCUGUGUGCUCAUGGCUUUCAUCAGAUUCUCAAAGGGGCCUCAAAGGCUAAAAUUAGGGUGAUCAUACAUCUUGGUUUGCUUGGGACAGUUCCAGUUUAUACAAGUUGCCCUGGUAUAAUUGGUAGUAGUGACUCUUUUCACUCAUAAAAAAAUAUCUUGACAUGGAUGAUAAAUUACAGUUGAUGCUCAGCAUGUGUAGAUUCUGUAUUUGCAAAUUCACCUACUUGCUAAAAUUUAUUUGUAACUCCCAAAUCAAUACAUACAGUGCUUCAGCAGUCAUUUGUGGGUGCACACAGCAGCAAAAGAUUGUGUUGCCUGAUGUGUGCCUCAAACAAGAUGAUACUUUGCCUUCCUUCUCUUUCAGCUUUUGUAAUGUGUCCCUUCUGUGGUCUAUUUAAUGCCAGAUUUGCAUCUUGGCUUUUGUUGGUGAUUUCAUUUACAAUGACCCCCAAGCGUGGGGAGCUGAAGUGCUACCCUGUGUUCUAAAGCUCAUGAAGGCUGCGAUGUGCUAUAUAGAAAAAAUAACCUGUAUUAAAUAUGCUUUGUUUGGUUCUGAGUUAUAGCGCUGUUGGGUAUAGUUCAACGUUAAUAAGUCAACAAUAUAUAUUAAAUAAAAUCUAUUUGAGCAGAAUCA
ensembl:lncRNA